UCAAAGGAUUUAUUAUGCCAACUCUAUUAAACCUUUCAAUCUGAUUAAUUACCAUUAUUGAUUACACUAACAUAUACUCAUUUAGUACCAGGAGGUAUGCCCAAAAUCCUGGUUUGCAGGAAGUCCAGAAUCCUCCAAUAUGGAUUUCUGGAAAGCCAAGGAAUUUCAUAUGCAUGCAAUCCAUCCUAACUAGCCGAAGAAGCAGGAAUGCCAUCUAGAGGUUUUCUGUGGUGCUUAGGUCUCAGGACUCAGUCAGCCCAAUUCUGCUAUUUCUCUUCAUAAACUGGUCUUUCCAACAAUCGCACCAGAUCAUUGAAUGUCAGCUUUGUUUCAGAGCUGAUCUCAUGGGUGAAGAAACACUGUACGCCAUACUGUUCACUGUGUCGAUAGGUGAUCCCUCCCCUUAAAUUUGAGACAAACCCUGGAAUUGACAGAAUUUAGUCGUGACAAGCCUGAAGUACGACUGUGUGCAGUCUUAAACCUAAAAUCUAAAGCUUGUGUCUUGCCAGGGAACCUGGCACAGAAAAGGAAUUUAUGCCUUGAGAAGAUCUUGUUUGAUUUAUUUUAUCUUACUUAACACUAAGGACUGUUGGACACCGAGACGGCAAGGUCCUGUGCCUGUGGGAACCAGGGUGUGUCCUAAGUGGCACCACAUGCCCUACAUAGGGCACUAAUCUAGACAAUAGCAGUGCAAAAAAGGCCAAAGGACUUCAUUUGGGAAGCGACCCAAAUGUUUAAAGGUAGACUUCGGGCGCACGGGAAUCAUUACAGGAAGAAGAUUACAAGAGAGGUGGUUGGAAGCCCAGUAUUGUAGAACCCUCCAGGUGACACCUUCAGGAAGGUAAAAUGGAUCAAUCCAAAAGCACCGCUGAGGCCCAGCCGCCACCAUACUCUUAUCCGGACUACGGGCAAAAGAACGCCGGUGGUCAAGACAACUAUGGUCAGAACACCUUUGGCCAUCCCCAGGAUAGUGUGGGCAUUGGCCCUGGCAACAUAGCCGUGGUCUGCCCCGCGGGUCAGUACGGUAACAACGACCAGGGUUCCUCCGAGGACCAGCCCCCACCACCACCCUGGUAUUCUUGUGGCAUGGAAGACGCAAACUGUUUUGACGACAAGGCCAUACGAAGAGGCUUUAUAAAGAAGGUGUACCUAACCCUGAUGAUUCAGCUCCUAAUCACCAUUGGGAUCAUGUGUGCCUUUCUGUAUUGGGAGACUCUGAGGGAAUGGUCUCGCAGAACGUAUUGGUUGCCAUACACCAUGAUGGGAGUGGUGCUUGUCCUUUCCAUAGCCUUGUCUUGCAGUGGACAUUUACGCCGGCAGGUCCCACAUAAUUUCCUAGCCUUGGGAUUGUUUACCCUUGCAGAAGGAGUCCUGCUUGGCUCAGUGUCUGCGUACUUCGAAGUAGAAGCAGUGAUGUGGGCAGUUGGUGCCACAGCACUGGUCUGCUUGGCCCUGAGUUUGUUCUCCUUGCAGUCCAGAGUAAGUCGUCUCUAUACAUAUAGACAGAUAGCUCACACUGAAUCCUCGAAAUUGCCAUGUCCUAUAAAGGCAUCGGUAGGCUCGUUAAGUAGUGGUUUUCCUUCUGUACUUCCAUGUUUUUGUGUGCUGAUAAUACAUCAAAGAAAACAGUGCCCAACACCUUCAUACACUGAAAAUUGGCCAAACGUUUCUAAAAACAAGCUAGGUUGUCUACUUCCAACUGCUGUCGUGGAAUGUUAGUUCAGUUUAAGUCAUUGGUCAACACCUCUAACUGACCUGACUGGAAUUCCCAAUUGCCAUUGUGGGUCCCAUCUAUAUAAUUACUACAAAAUGAAGAUAGGGGUCAAUGGCUGCCCAUGCUGUAAAAGGAUCUACCCAUCACAAGACCUGUUUCUAAGUGUGGUUUGUCAUCACAUAUCUUGUUGGGUUGGCCCACCACGGAUAUAAAAUGAUUAGACAAUUGGGUUUAAUGAGUGUUCAGCUUUUAUUUCCCUGAUGAUGCAUGGUCUCACUGGAUUGUUAUAAAAGAGGUAAUAUAAUUAAGCAAUGUGGUAUGACUACCAACGCAAGUGGAGCAGUAAAAAGUAAUAUGAUGUGAUACCUGCGGUAUACAUCUGCUGGAGCUACUGUCCCCGCGACCUGAUACUGGAUAAGCGGAUGAAGAUGAGAUGAGACCUGAGGUAUACGUCCUCAUAUCAGCCAAUAUUAUGUGGGACUUCACCAAGUGCAACACAAUCCUUUGGGUGUUUCUUUGGGUUGCCAUAUCGUAUGGAUUGCUGUACGCCAUCAUGCC